CUUUACACCAAAACUGCUUCAUUGACCUAAAGCUGUUUUGAUGACUUUAUUAUCCCUUUAAGGUGUGAUUAUAACAGAAAGCAAGGGAAAUCCAACAUUAAAAAAAUAAAACUUUUUUAAAAAACAAGGAGAGUUAUGAUUUAAAAAAAGACAUCAAUAAAACAUGGAGUUAAGACAUAAAUUCAAAGAAAGGGCAAGGCUACAGCUUGAACAGCUAGGUAAAUACAGCGUUAAAAUAAAGAAGGUUAAAUAAAGCUGAGGUAGG